rnacentral:ncRNA from 2 species
CCGGAUGAAGAUCGCGCCGGUGUCCCGCAAGGGACUUAAUAGGGAACACGGUGAGAAGGGCGACCUUCGAAGCCGAGGCUGUCCCUGCAACUGUAAGCGGCGAGCGCGAUGCAUAUGCGCGGCAGGGCAAGGGUCUCUGCCGCCAGCCACUGGGCCGGACGCUGCGACAUGCGAGGCCUGGGAAGGCCGUGCAUCAAGCCUUGACCCGUGAGCCAGGAGACCUGCCGGCGUCUGGUCGCUCAU